rnacentral:lncRNA from 1 species
GUGUUGUGCUGAUGGAGAACAUAUUUCAUUCCUCGAUCGUAGCCAAGGACCGUAUGUUGUGUUGAUGGAGAACACAUUUCGUUCCUCGACUAUAGUUGGGGACCGUAGUUAUGUUAAUGGAGAACCAUCAAUACAUUCCAUUCCUCGAUCGUAGCCGGAGAUCGCAUAUUGUGUUGAUAGAAAAUACAUUAUAUUUCUCGACCGUAGUCGAGGACCACAUGUUGAUGGAGAACACGUUCCAUUCCUCAACCAUAAUCGAGGACCGUUUGUUGUAUUGAUGGAGAAUAUGUUUCAUUCCUCA